UGAGGAAUAUUGGUCAAUGGGCGCAAGCCUGAACCAGCCAUCCCGCGUGAAGGAUGAAGGUCCUAUGGAUUGUAAACUUCUUUUAUACAGGAAGAAAAAUCUCUACGUGUAGAGACUUGCCGGUACUGUAUGAAUAAGCAUCGGCUAACUCCGUGCCAGCAGCCGCGGUAAUACGGAGGAUGCAAGCGUUAUCCGGAUUCAUUGGGUUUAAAGGGUGCGUAGGCGGCUCUUUAAGUCAGUGGUGAAAUCCUGCCGCUUAACGGUAGAAUUGCCAUUGAUACUGAAGAGCUUGAGUACAAUUGAGGUAAGCGGAAUGUGUAGUGUAGCGGUGAAAUGCUUAGAUAUUACACAGAACACCAAUUGCGAAGGCAGCUUACUAAACUGCAACUGACGCUGAUGCACGAAAGCGUGGGGAGCGAACA
rnacentral:rRNA from 2 species